GAAUGGCGCCGCUACUACAUGCAGUCGAGCGGACAGAAGGGAGCUUGCUCCCGGAUGUUAGCGGCGGACGGGUGAGUAACACGUGGGUAACCUGCCUGUAAGACUGGGAUAACUCCGGGAAACCGGAGCUAAUACCGGAUAGUUCCUUGAACCGCAUGGUUCAAGGAUGAAAGACGGUUUCGGCUGUCACUUACAGAUGGACCCGCGGCGCAUUAGCUAGUUGGUGGGGUAAUGGCUCACCAAGGCGACGAUGCGUAGCCGACCUGAGAGGGUGAUCGGCCACACUGGGACUGAGACACGGCCCAGACUCCUACGGGAGGCAGCAGUAGGGAAUCUUCCGCAAUGGACGAAAGUCUGACGGAGCAACGCCGCGUGAGUGAUGAAGGUUUUCGGAUCGUAAAGCUCUGUUGUUAGGGAAGAACAAGUGCGAGAGUAACUGCUCGCACCUUGACGGUACCUAACCAGAAAGCCACGGCUAACUACGUGCCAGCAGCCGCGGUAAUACGUAGGUGGCAAGCGUUGUCCGGAAUUAUUGGGCGUAAAGGGCUCGCAGGCGGUUUCUUAAGUCUGAUGUGAAAGCCCCCGGCUCAACCGGGGAGGGUCAUUGGAAACUGGGAAACUUGAGUGCAGAAGAGGAGAGUGGAAUUCCACGUGUAGCGGUGAAAUGCGUAGAGAUGUGGAGGAACACCAGUGGCGAAGGCGACUCUCUGGUCUGUAACU
rnacentral:rRNA from 1 species